CAUAUUAAAAACAAAUUUUUCUUAAAUAAAAAUCAUAAAAGCACACAGCAUCAUAUGGUAAAAUAUAGCUUUACACUUUAGGUGUUUAGAAACGCUUGAGAUGAUUUAAGUUUGGCUGGGUAAGGUGGAGAGUUGGCAAGCAACCCAUUAACAAGGAAGAGUAAGAUAUAAAGUCCCCAAUGAUUUUUAAUAAAGCUAUGGUUUGGAAAUGAUUACAGAGGCUUUCGAUAGAAAAAGAUCAUUUUCAAAGAUGGAUGCCAAACCUAAGGUGGUAACAGUAGCUUAUGAGAUGGGAUGGGGCUAUAAAUCUAAUACAAGGCAUGAAAUGACUAUUUUACACAUUUUGUGAAGUCUGCCCUUUUUUGAUGUGAUAUUUGGUCAGGUACUUCCUCUCUAAAUGAUUGCUUCUCUGAACUUUGUGUUGGCCACAGAUUAAUGUUUUUGCAAAUUCUUGCACUAGCAUGUAAGUUGUUUGAGAUGGAAUGUGCCUUUAGCGAGGUAUGCCCUAAACUUUUUUGAGCUAUUGAAUAAGAUAUUUUGUGGUGAAAUCCUUUUUAUAAAGCCACAUUGAUAAAGGGAAGGAGCAAACAUUUGCAUUGAAAGGAAAUUUGGAAGACAUAUACAUCUUAAAAUAUUUCUUCUUUCUUUCUCCCUUUUUGUCUUUUUUUUUUUGGCUUAGAUUUUUGCAAAUAGAUGUUACCUUUGAAAGUGUGAUGUCAAAAUAGUGAACUGCUUGUUAUUGCGUUGCAGUUGGAUCAAAGUCAAAGAAUUGUGUAAUUUUGCCCACUUUUGAAUAAAAGCAAGGCCAAAAUGGAAGGAGAGUUGUGGAUAUAACAGGGUAUAUGUUGUCGUACAGGUAAAAAAGGAAAACACUUUUAAACCCUCUUACUACUUCUUGGACAAUUUGGAGAGAACUCAACAAAAGGGGCAUUGGCACAAAGGAAAGUUCUCUCUCUUUUCCU
rnacentral:misc_RNA from 1 species